CAGGGAUUGCCCCAGUAACGGCGAGUGAAGCGGCAACAGCUCAAAUUUGAAAUCUGGCCCCCCCGGGCCCGAGUUGUAAUUUGCAGAGGAUGCUUUUGGCGACGCGCCCGCCGAGUCCCCUGGAAUGGGGCGCCACAGAGGGUGAGAGCCCCGUACGGCGCGGCGCCGAGCCUGUGCGAAGCUCCUUCGACGAGUCGAGUAGUUUGGGAAUGCUGCUCUAAAUGGGAGGUAAAUUUCUUCUAAAGCUAAAUACCGGCCAGAGACCGAUAGCGCACAAGUAGAGUGAUCGAAAGAUGAAAAGCACUUUGGAAAGAGGGUUAAACAGCACGUGAAAUUGUUGAAAGGGAAGCGCUUGUGACCAGACUUGCGCCGGGCGGAUCAUCCGGCGUUCUCGCCGGUGCACUCCGCCCGGCUCAGGCCAGCAUCGGUUCUCGCCGGGGGACAAAGGCGUCGGGAACGUGGCUCCCUCGGGAGUGUUAUAGCCCGUCGCACAAUGCCCCGGCGGGGACCGAGGACCGCGCUUCGGCAAGGAUGCUGGCGUAAUGGUCACCAGCGACCCGUCUUGAAACACGGACCGAGGAGUCAAGCAUUGGUGCGAGUGUUUGGGUGUAAAACCCGCACGCGUAAUGAAAGUGAACGUGGGUGAGAGCUUCGGCGCAUCAUCGACCGAUCCUGAUGUUUUCGGAUGGAUUUGAGUAGGAGCAUCAACGCUUGGACCCGAAAGAUGGUGAACUAUACUUGAAUAGGGUGAAGCCAGAGGAAACUCUGGUGGAGGCUCGCAGCGGUUCUGACGUGCAAAUCGAUCGUCAAAUUUGAGUAUAGGGGCGAAAGACUAAUCGAACCAUCUA
rnacentral:rRNA from 1 species